GUGCUCACUUCAGCAGCAAGUAUACUAAAAUUGGAACGAUACAGAGAUUAACAUGGCCCCUGCACAAGGAUGACAUGCAAAUUAGUGAAGCGUUCCAUAUUAAA